rnacentral:rRNA from 1 species
AUUGAACGCUGGCGGCAGGCUUAACACAUGCAAGUCGAGCGGGGAAGGGUAGCUUGCUACCUGACCUAGCGGCGGACGGGUGAGUAAUGCUUAGGAAUCUGCCUAUUAGUGGGGGACAACAUUCCGAAAGGAAUGCUAAUACCGCAUACGCCCUACGGGGGAAAGCAGGGGAUCUUCGGACCUUGCGCUAAUAGAUGAGCCUAAGUCAGAUUAGCUAGUUGGUGGGGUAAAGGCCUACCAAGGCGACGAUCUGUAGCGGGUCUGAGAGGAUGAGCCGCCACACUGGGACUAGGACACAGCCCAGACUCCUACGGGAGGCAGCAGUGGGGAAUAUUGGACAAUGGGCGAAAGCCUGAUCCAGCCAUGCCGCGUGUGUGAAGAAGGCCUUUUGGUUGUAAAGCACUUUAAGCGAGGAGGAGGCUACCGAGAUUAAUACUCUUGGAUAGUGGACGUUACUCGCAGAAUAAGCACCGGCUAACUCUGUGCCAGCCGCCAGCGUUCAAUC